rnacentral:rRNA from 1 species
ACAGGGAUUGCCUUAGUAACGGCGAGUGAAGCGGCAACAGCUCAAAUUUGAAAUCUGGCUCUUUCAGAGUCCGAGUUGUAAUUUGCAGAGGGCGCUUUGGCUUUGGCAGCGGUCCAAGUUCCUUGGAACAGGACGUCACAGAGGGUGAGAAUCCCGUACGUGGUCGCUAGCUAUUGCCGUGUAAAGCCCCUUCGACGAGUCGAGUUGUUUGGGAAUGCAGCUCUAAAUGGGAGGUAAAUUUCUUCUAAAGCUAAAUAUUGGCCAGAGACCGAUAGCGCACAAGUAGAGUGAUCGAAAGAUGAAAAGCACUUUGGAAAGAGAGUCAAACAGCACGUGAAAUUGUUGAAAGGGAAGCGCUUGCAGCCAGACUUGCUUGCAGUUGCUCAUCCGGGCUUUUGCCCGGUGCACUCUUCUGCAGGCAGGCCAGCAUCAGUUUGGGCGGUGGGAUAAAGGUCUCUGACACGUUCCUUCCUUCGGGUUGGCCAUAUAGGGGAGACGUCAUACCACCAGCCUGGACUGAGGUCCGCGCAUCUGCUAGGAUGCUGGCGUAAUGGCUGUAAGCGGCCCGUCUUGAAACACGGACCAAGGAGUCUAACAUCUAUGCGAGUGUUUGGGUGUCAAGCCCGAGCGCGUAAUGAAAGUGAACGGAGGUGGGAACCCGCAAGGGCGCACCAUCGACCGAUCCUGAAGUUUACGGAAGGAUUUGAGUAAGAGCAUGGCUGUUGGGACCCGAAAGAUGGUGAACUAUGCUUGAAUAGGGUGAAGCCAGAGGAAACUCUGGUGGAGGCUCGCAGCGGUUCUGACGUGCAAAUCGAUCGUCAAAUUUGGGCAUAGGGGCGAAAGACUAAUCGAA